UAUGGCUUCACUUGUAGUAACCUGGCCAAGCUCCCGCCAGUCCUUGGCUUUUUCCACUGCCCUGGAAAUGAUCGGAAAUUAUAAGGGGAUUUUCUUCCCUUCUCCCCUCUUUGCCAUCAAUUAGAGUUUGAGGCUGGACUAAAGAGACAGGGGCACACACUUCCUAGACAGACACAGAUACAGAGCGUCAGUGACUCAAAGGAGGAAGUAUUUCAAGGAAGAGUGAUAGAAGAGAGUUGACUUUAGAUUCCAAGAACCAUCCUUGGCCAUAGAGAGCAAAAAUAAAGGAGCAGUCCCGAGCCCCAUUGAGCAACUUUAGAAGGUAUCUGCCCACUAGGGAUCUGCACCAGGAUUCCAAGAGAAGAGAAAACAACAGGACUCCGUAACAUCUGACCAUGGGGAUUCCUAGCUUUGCAUCAUGGACUCCUUUGUCUGUCCAGUCAACUUCCUGGACUUCUUCUCAGAUGGUUCCUGUUUGUCUACCAAAAAGGUGGGAGCCAAAUGUCUGAACAUCCAAGCAGCUCCUUGCCCUCUGACAGUGGGUUGCCAUCAUCUCCUAAGCUGGCUAGAGACCGUGCAUGAAGAGGUCCGCUGGACUAGUGAAUCCAGUACAGAAACCACUUGUGUGUGAAAGCAUUCUCUCUCUAGCCAGGUCCUCUGAUUGAAAGAUACCCCACCCCCACGGAAGGAGCCACAGCUUCAAUAAUAAACAAGGGCCCCAUCGAGGGAUGGGGAGGGGACAUUGAAAGCUGUUGGCGUGUUUGUGACUCUCCACAGCCAAGAGGGAACAUGGCUUUUAUAAAUAGAGUCUGAAUGAUAAAAAUAUACCACAGAACAUCAGGCAAAUUGA